AAGUCGUAACAAGGUUUCCGUAGGUGAACCUGCGGAAGGAUCAUUAACACGUAUCCAAACGUUAAAACCCCCCCCGUGAACCUUCAUCCUGCUCUUGUAACCCGCGUAGUUCGCAAUCUCUGAUAAAUCAUAGCCCGGAAAGUUGUAGUGAUUCAGAGACCUCUGGCUACGUGCGAACAUUGGAACAGUUACAAUCGAGCGGUAGUUCUAUAGGCAAUGUUUCCCCAAGCAGUCAGUGUCGGAAAGUGUCAUUGAUUGUGCAAGGAUAGCGCUUAUACGAUUCCUGUAGACCGUACACUCGGGCAGGAGCGUUGCCAUGUAAUACAUUGGGUAAAAAAACCGAACAACUGUUAACAAUGGAUAUCUUGGUUCUC
rnacentral:misc_RNA from 1 species